rnacentral:rRNA from 1 species
UUUACCAGCAUUACCACCCUGCAUCCCACUGCUGGUUUGCCUCUGAAGCUAAGCAAGGUUGGUCCUGGAUGGGAGACCAGAUGCUGCUGGAA